rnacentral:tRNA from 1 species
GCCCUUGUAGCUCAACGGUAGAGCGCGCGGCUCAUAAUCGCUCGGUUGCAGGUUCGAGUCCUGCCGAGGGCA